CAAAGUCAUCAUUACUCGAACAAUUGAAGGGAAACCAUAUUUGAGGAAGAUCUUGGAGGCAAGAAGAGAGCAACAAAAAAAACUCAAGGAAGACAAUGGCCAAGAAGAGGGAACAAAGAAAUCCAAGGUAAUUCAAUGUAUGUUCAUGAUGACUUCUUAUUUCACUUUGUUUGUUGGUGACAAGUGUAUUGAUGGAUUAGAGAAUUGUUGAUGAUGGAUUUAUGGUUGUGAUGGAGUGUUGGAUCAUUUGUAUGGAUAAUUUGUAUUUUUGUUA